rnacentral:rRNA from 1 species
AGUCGAGGGGUAACAGGGUGCUUGCACCGCUGACGACCGGCGCACGGGUGCGUAACGCGUAUGCAAUCUGCCUUACACUGGGGGAUAGCCUUUAGAAAUGAAGAUUAAUACCCCAUAGUAUUAUUAGUUCGCAUGGAUUAAUAAUUAAAGGUUACGGUGUAAGAUGAGCAUGCGUCCUAUUAGCUAGAUGGUGUGGUAACGGCACACCAUGGCAACGAUAGGUAGGGGCCCUGAGAGGGGGAUCCCCCACACUGGUACUGAGACACGGACCAGACUCCUACGGGAGGCAGCAGUGAGGAAUAUUGGACAAUGGGCGGAAGCCUGAUCCAGCCAUGCCGCGUGCAGGAAGACUGCCCUAUGGGUUGUAAACUGCUUUUAUACAGGAAGAAACCACGCUACGUGUAGCGUUCUGACGGUACUGUAAGAAUAAGGAUCGGCUAACUCCGUGCCAGCAGCCGCGGUAAUACGGAGGAUCCAAGCGUUAUCCGGAAUCAUUGGGUUUAAAGGGUCCGUAGGUGGAUAAUUAAGUCAGGGGUGAAAGUUUGCAGCUUAACUGUAAAAUUGCCUUUGAUACUGGUUAUCUUGAAUCAUUAUGAAGUGGUUAGAAUAUGUAGUGUAGCGGUGAAAUGCAUAGAUAUUACAUAGAAUAC